rnacentral:rRNA from 1 species
CAGUAGCCGCGGUAAUACGUAGGUGGCAAGCGUUGUCCGGAAUUAUUGGGCGUAAAGCGCGCGCAGGUGGUUUAAUAAGUCUGAUGUGAAAGCCCACGGCUCAACCGUGGUGGGUCAUUGGAAACUGUUAAACUUGAGUGCAGGAGAGAAAAGUGGAGUUCCUAGUGUAGCGGUGAAAUGCGUAGAGAUUAGGAGGACACCAGGGCGAAGGCGGCUUUUUGGCCUGUAACUGACACUGAGGCGCGAAAGCGUGGGGAGCAAACAGGAUUAGAUACCCCGGUAGUCCCUGUCUCUUAUACAC